rnacentral:rRNA from 1 species
GACGAACGCUGGCGGCGUGCUUAACACAUGCAAGUCGAACGGAAAGGCCCUGCUUGCAGGGUCCUCGAGUGGCGAACGGGCGAGUAACACGUGGGUGCUCCGCCCUGUACUUUGGGGUAAGCCUGGGAGAAUGGGUCCAUACCCGGAUAGGAGCUAUUUCCUGCGGGAUGGUUGGAGAGUUCUUUCGGUAUGGGAUGAGUUCGCGGGCUAUCAGCUUGUUGGUUGGGUAAUGGCCUACCAAGCCGGCGACGGGUAGCCGACCUGGGAGGGUGGACGGCGACAUGACGACUACGGGACGGAGCAGUGGGGAACAGGAGGCAGCGGUGGGAAGUAUUGUACAGUGAGAGCACGUCUGAUGCAACGACGUCGGGUGGGGGAUGACGGCCUGUGGGUUGUGAACACCUGUCGCUAGGGACGAAGCUGUUGUGACGGUACCUAGAUAAGAAGCACCGGCUAACUACGUG